rnacentral:rRNA from 1 species
GCGUGAGUGAUGAAGGUCUUCGGAUCGUAAAGCUCUUUUAGUGGGGAAGAUAAUGACGGUACCCACAGAAAAAGCUCCGGCUAACUUCGUGCCAGCAGCCGCGGUAAUACGAAGGGAGCUAGCGUUGUUCGGAUUUACUGGGCGUAAAGAGCGUGUAGGCGGCUUAGCAAGUUGGAAGUGAAAUCCCGGGGCUUAACCCCGGAACUGCUUCCAAAACUGCUUAGCUAGAGUAUGUAAGAGGGUGAUGGAAUUCCUAGUGUAGAGGUGAAAUUCAU